CAAGUUAGGGAAACAACCUCUACAAGGUAAGGUUAUCCUCUUUAAGUCACUAUCAUCUUUGCCAGCAGAACUUGGUUUGUAAUUGAGAUAGUUCUCCUGCCAUUACACUUGAAAAUAGUUAUACCAAAACACAUGGAAGUCUACUUAUAAUAUAUUUUAAACCAUAUUGACACUUUAUCCAAAGCUUUUGAAUCCUAAUAUACCAAAGCCGAACCUAUAUCAAGAGAAUAUUAGCCUUUUAUUUCCUACAACUUAUUUAGUGAGGCCAUUGAUACGGCAUAGAUGAUAUAAAUGAUAAUCAGGUACAAUAACAAGUAAUGAAAAAAAGAGGUACACCAAUACUGCUGAUACGCAUGGGCAUGGCAACAAAAAAAAGAAAAGUGAACCAUCUGAAGCAUACAGUUAGCUUUAUAGUGUAUAACCCAACACAACACAACCCAAACAUCUUGCAACAACAAAGACCUUCAG
rnacentral:lncRNA from 1 species